AAGGAAUAGGGCAUUCAAUUCAUUCAAGAAAAAGGAAAAUCUCGGAAAGUCUCUCGAAGGGUUUUGGCACUGUCCCCACUGCCAUUGCCAUUAGCCAUUCAAUCCAUGGCAACCACUUUCUCUGAGAAAUCAGAAGACGAUCUUCGCAAGGAGAUCGAUGAGCUUCAGCGCCAGCAACGCGAGAUUACUGACCGCCUUCGGGAUCCUCGGGGGCUUCGCCGGGGACGCUUGCCCGGCGCUGGUCCUCGUAACUUUGCCGCCAAUGGUGCUCGUCAGCGAGGUUUCACUCGGCCUACUGAUAGGACUGAGCUAGAAGAUGAACCACCUGCAAAGAGACGACUUUCAUCAGCCGUUGUCAAGGUGGAAGAUGGAGAGAUCACUGAGGAUGCCAAAGCAAAUGAGGAUGUGAAUGAAGAUGAUUCGGUCAAGGAAGUAACUGAUGGGAAUUUGCUGCAGAGUGGUUGGUCCAGUAGAGAUGGCAAUCAAAGACCAAUGAGGAAGGAUUUUGAUAUCCCGAGCAAUGAGCAUGUCCCAAGGGUAUUGCCUAAGAAUGAGGAUCCAAGCUUGGUUAGUAGGAAUAAAAGAAUGCUGGGGCAGCUUCUGGGAACUCUGGAGAAAUUCAGGAAAGAAGACAAGCAGCUUUCAGGAACUGAGGCAUUUAUGCGGAGAUCAACUUCCUUACAAAGAGCUGAGCAAAGAGCACGUGAAGAAAGUGAAAGACUUAGACAGCAAGAGCGUGAAAGGAUUGCUGAAAAGCGGAGGAGAGAUCUGACUCUGCGGGCACGUGUUUCUGCCAAGACAGAAGAGAAGAAGUUGGAAUUACUGUAUCUUCGGUGGAGUGAGCACCAUAAAAAACUUUGCAAUUUUAUAAGGACUAAGACAGAGCCUCCAAUUUAUUAUUUGCCGAAGAAGCCACUAGAUGCAAAUGAAAUUGAGGCUGAGCAGCGAAAAGAACAGGCAUUUGAAGAAUGGAAGGCUUCUAGGAGGGAGGAACUGACGGAAUAUCAGAAAGAGAUUGGGGAGCAAUAUCUUGCCAAUGUUGAAAAAGACUUGGAAAGGUGGCAAAAUGCAAGGAAUAGGAAAGCAAAUGAUGUACUGAACUUGCAGGAAACAAUGGACAAAGAAUUGGACACCCAUAGACUUGAGCAUGGUCCCAAGAAAAGAACGAUUCCAAGCGAAAGCAACAAUGAAGAGGAAGAUGAUGUGGAGGACAUCAAUGGGGAGGAUGACAUGAUGGAUGAUGUACUGGAUGUUGACGACAACACUCGAAGGGGUGAAGAAACAACUAGGACAGAUGCUGCCGAUAAUGCUAGUCCAGAGGCAGAUAAAAUUGAGUAGUGACGGUUAUUGCCAUCUUCUCAACACCCUUCUUUUUGUUCUGGUUUCAUUCUGGCUGAUUAUUGUAUCAAUUUAAACCCUCGUGCUCAUACUAUCUGGUAUCAGUGCUAUGUUUGAGAUCUGAAAAUAAUCGAAUCUGGAAUUUACUGGGAUACCGUGCUUUGGAAGUUGAUAUUAAAUGUUGGAUCUUUGGUAUUAGAGCUAUAUAACCGGUGGUCGGUGGUCUUCAGCCCCGAGUCCGUACAUGAGGCGGCAUAAGCAUUCAUAGAGUUUGUAGCAUUUGAAGCUUUGAUGGCAUCUAAGCACUCAACUUCAAGCUCAAGGUGACGAGAAAGAUCAUCAAAGGUUUUGAUGUUAUCACUGUGAGUCGUGCUCACCGCUAUAGUCUCCUAUGAAUUUAGUAAUGAUCAAAUAAAUGUCGUGAGUUGUUGUUCAUUAAUCAAGUUUUUACCAAUAAUUUUAACUUGUGAAUCAUAGUUGACAUAGCCCUAAGAGGUUGCUUAUUUGUGUGAUUUGAGCAUAUCUUAUAAAAGUCAAAUUUUAUAUUUAGUGCAUGUAACCUCUUAAUAGUGGCCUAUCCAUAUUUUAUCUUAAAGGAAUCUCACAUCUCAAAAGUAGUGGCUUGUUGCUUAAAUUCAUUAAUUAAGUUCUUGUGCGUGAUACUUAACAUAGCAAAGCGCACAAAUGAUCUUUCUUAAGCCAAUUCUAAUAGGCGUCGAUGUUGAGUAGUGUUUCAAUCACGGGUGCAGUUAUCUCUUUGGAUGAGGUUACCAUAACAUCUUAUUCUUUGAGAACAUAUCAAGGCACACAACACAACACAUUAAUAUUUAGAGCUUGAUAGAUUAUGUGUUAUGUUAUGCAAAAUGAGUUUAUGUGUUCUCAACGUGCAAGAGGCAAUGGAAACCUUGACCCAAGAAAUAAUUGCACUGGCAUCUAGGAACAUUUCUCAAUAUUGGCAUGAUUAAGAGCCCAUCAAAAUCAGCUUGGGAAAGAUCUUGUGUGCGACUGCAAUUUACUAUGCUAAGCAA